AUACGGAGGGUGCAAGCGUUGUUCGGAAUCACUGGGCGUAAAGGGCGCGCAGGCGGUUUGGUAAGUCAGAUGUGAAAGCCCAUGGCUCGACCAUGGAAGUGCAUUUGAAACUGUCAGACUUGAGUACUAGAGGGGAAAGUGGAAUUCCCGGUGUAGAGGUGAAAUUCGUAGAUAUCGGGAGGAAUACCGGUGGCGAAGGCGACUUUCUGGCUAGAUACUGACGCUGAGGCGCGAAAGCGUGGGGAGCAAACAGGAUUAGAAACCCCGGUAGUCC
rnacentral:rRNA from 1 species